UACGGGGGGUGCAAGCGUUAUUCGGAAUUAUUGGGCGUAAAGGGCGCUCAGGCGGUUGAAUAAGUCAGAUGUGAAAGCCCUUGGCUUAACCAAGGAAGUGCAUUUGAUACUAUUUGACUUGAGUAUGGGAGAGGGAAGUGGAAUUCCUGGUGUAGAGGUGAAAUUCGUAGAUAUCAGGAGGAACACCGGAUGCGAAAGCGACUUCCUGGACCAAUAAUCACGUGGGGGCGCGUAGGCGUGGGGAGCAAACAGG
rnacentral:rRNA from 1 species